rnacentral:rRNA from 1 species
GAUGAACGCUGGCGGCGUGCCUUACACAUGCAAGUCGAACGGUAACAGGUCUUCGGAUGCUGACGAGUGGCGAACGGGUGAGUAAUGCAUCGGAACGUGCCCAGUAGUGGGGGAUAGCCCGGCGAAAGCCGGAUUAAUACCGCAUACGACCUGAGGGUGAAAGGGGGGGAUCGCAAGACCUCUCGCUAUUGGAGCGGCCGAUGUCAGAUUAGCUAGUUGGUGGGGUAAAGGCCUACCAAGGCAACGAUCUGUAGUUGGUCUGAGAGGACGACCAGCCACCCUGGGACUGGGACAAGGCCAAGACGCCUCCGGGAGGCAGCAGUGGGGAAUUUUGGACAAAGGGCGCAAGCCUGAUCCAGCAAUGCCGCGUGCAGGAAGAAGGCCUUCGGGUUGUAAACUGCUUUUGUCAGGGAAGAAAUCUUCUGGGUUAAUACCUCGGGAGGAUGACGGUACCUGAAGAAUAAGCACCGGCUAACUACGUGCCAGCCGCCGCCGUAA